rnacentral:rRNA from 1 species
CUGCUGCCUUCCGUAGGAGUCUGGUCCGUGUCUCAGUACCAGUGUGGGGGACCUUCCUCUCAGAACCCCUACGCAUCGUCGCCUUGGUGGGCCGUUACCCCGCCAACAAGCUAAUGCGACGCAUGACCAUCCGUAGCCGGAAUCGCUUCCUUUAAACCCACAGAGAUGCCUCCAUGGGUUGUUACGCGGUAUUAGACGGAAUUUCUUCCGCUUAUCCCCCUGCUACGGGCAGGUUUCAUACGUGUUACUCACCCGUACGCCGGUCGCCGGCGGG